GGGCUGGUGGUAAAGUGGUAUUACGCACCCUUGGCAUGGGUGAGGCCGCGGGUUCAAUUCCCGCCCAGUCCA
rnacentral:tRNA from 1 species